rnacentral:siRNA from 1 species
UCACUGAGGCCCAAUUGAUGUAUC